UCGGGGCAGUUCAAUGGCUGCAGGAUGAAAUAAGGUUCGACUGGUGUCUAAGGCUGCCCGAGUGCGGCGAGGUUGCCCAGGACAGGGACUCCUCCUUUGGCUGGGACUGGCUGCUCGCCUCUGCUCCGCCCCGGCGCUUUUGAAAGUAAACUACCUGCCUGUUGCGCUCCGCGAUGCGCAACUGGCCGCGCCCCCCAGGCCUCCCGGGCUGCGGUUUUGUAAGCGAAGUGAGAAACACGAGCCAGCUCCGUUCCUGUGCUGGAAAACCGGCCAGUUGACCCCGGGUCCUGGCGGGGACCCCCAUCGCGUUCUGCCCUGCAAGGCGCGUCCAGCCACUGGUUGCCUCCGACACGCCGUCAUUCCCUGGCCACCACCCGGCACGCGCACUCAGGGGCGCACUCCGAAGGCCAGACAAGGCAAAGAAGUCCGAGGCCACGUCCUUCUAAGUACACCCAGAUGUUCACGGUGGCAGGACGAUGUUCCACACUCCUAGCCUCCAGACUCCAAUGACCCCACCAUCUGCAUGUACCUGAACUGCAGCCUCUAAAUGACUCCGGAGAGCAGAUCUAGAGUCCAGCAUCCCGUUUCCUCGGGUAAAUCCAGCUGUCUGCCCGGCAUGCUUAGCUGCUAAGGUGGGAAAGCCAAAGAAGUCUGGAAACGGAGUCCCAUUCACCUUACCACUUAGAACCUUCACACGUAAAGCAGAGCAAGACAUCCCAGUUCAAGUGUGAGGUUCUCCAGGAGUCCUGUGUAAUACUAAGACCCACAAUGAAUUUUCAUGGAAUGGCAUUCCAGCUUGCUCUGGGUGAUUUAAGUAACCUUAUAAUGUGAUGCUUCUGAGAGGGGUCAGGGGAGAAGGAUAACCCAGAAUAUUAUAAAUGAUGAGUUCACGUCAAAGUGCUAUCUACUAUUUGUUUUUACCCCAUGAACUAGAGUUUCAGAGUUGAAAAGUUCAACUGAAGGCAUUCAGACACUGAGUGGUGGUCCGUGCAACCGAGCGUUGCACUGGAUAGAGCGAGCUACCUGUGGCAGAGCUGUUCAGCACUACUAGCCAUUCAUCUGACAUUGACUCCCCCAGCUACACCUUUAUCAAUAAUUCAGGUGACUCCACGGGCACCACCUGCUACUCUCUUGUUUUGCUAAUCCGUUUAUUUCAAACUGCAUAGGGGAAGAGCAACACUAUGCAUUGGGUUCUUUUCCAAAUGUCAACAUGCCUACCUUCCAUGCGUGCAACAGCAGCUUCCUGGUCUUAUAUUUUCCGUCCCUCCCUCCUUCCCCCAAGGCUUGUAAUGCUCUACCUGCUAUGAUCCACCCUAUCUACCAAGACCCAACAGUUGUAUGACAAAACUUUUUCUGGGGAGAUGCGACACACACAUCUGUUCACCCCAGAUAGGGAACCUAUGACAGAACAAAGUGUGGAUACCACCAAAGUCCAACGUGGUGAACCAAUGAGUUUUAGAGAGGCUCCAGGAGCAGAAACGACUCAAAGACAGCUGCAUCACCAAGGCGUACCCCAACAUGGGUGGCACUUCACAAAGCUGGGAAUCUGGAACGCACUGCACAUCCUGCAGGCUGCUCAACAGGUGCUUGAAAAAUGGCUCGGC